UAAUUCAUCCGCCAAAAUGCUCACCAUCUCGCGCGCGUAGUUAAGCAAAGAAAAAAAAAAAACUCGACACUGUAUUCCACAACACUCACAGGUUUGCAGCAGAAGAGAGAGAAUUUCUUCGAAGAUAAACAACAAAACCCUAGAAAAUUUUCUGAAUUCCGUGUGAUUUCUGCAGUUUGACGAUCAAAUUUCUCGUUUUUUCUGGCUAUUUCAGUUUCGUCGCGUCGAUUUCGCACAAUUUAAUGGUAUAAUUCUACGCAAUUCUGAUGUUUCAAGGUUCAAUUUUUUACUUGUGGUUCACUUGCUGUCGAGAUUUGGUGUUGUGCUUGUUUUGUCGAGGUUUUUGUGCAUAAUUCUUGCUUUUUUAAGCCACAUUUUGUUCAUGAACUGCUUGAGAAAGAUGGCGUGUAAAGGGAAGGUUGGAGAUAGAAGUAAGAUUGCUGAAAAGGUGUCUAUGCACAUGAUGUUAAUGGGUUAUAGUGGUGAUUAUCAACUAAGGAUUUCUCAAGAACUUAAUCGUCGUAAAUGGAGGAGAAAAAGGAAGUUGAGUCGAAAGUGGAAUAGAAGGCUUCAAUAUCUUUUAUGUAAUGCUGAUAGUGCUACCUUGUUGUCUUUCACUGUUACAUUGGGGAGGUUGCUUUGGAGUGAUAAUUUGAAUGCAAAACGGAGGAAAUUUGAGAAGAAACUCUCUGAGAAGAUUAAACAAUGGCGUGUUAAGAAGAAGAAACGAACAGGGAAACCGGGGAAAUUGAGGACAAGAAGGAGGGUUAACAUGGGGAAGAGAUGGAAGGAAAGGAAAGGAAAUGCAGUGGGGCCAAAUGUAGUUGUAGGGUUUCAAAUGAGGCCGGUCUUGGGGUCGAGGUUGAGGAAGGUGGUUCAGCGUAAGGUGACAAGGCAUCAUAUUAAAGUUGAUAAUGGUAGUUUGAUGUAUAGGCUGGCAAUGUCUAUGAAGUACUUGUCUGUAAGAAAUGUUAAUAUUACUUGUGAGUGGGAGUUUUGGGUGAUUUGUUUUGUUAAGAAAUUUUGUGGUUUUUGGGGGAGCAUUGCUUUUGACAAGGGCUUGAGUGAUUCUCUGAUGUCAAUUGCCAAGGAGUUUGGUCUUCCUGUGGUGUCAUCUGAGCACUUGGAGCGGCUGGAAAGCUGUUUCAGGUGUUCUUCCAGCCUUCGGUGUUUAGGAAGCUGGGAAUAGAGUUUUGAAGCCCAAGUUGUACUGAAGUGUUUGGAGUUAAGUUCUGUGUGGAGGAGUUUAGAUUCACGGGAAAGGGUAAUUUCUGUUAGGGUGUUAAGAAAAAGGGGAGGUCGCGGUGGUGCAAUGAUGGUGAUGGGAAGCUAGGAGAGAAAAUACAAGGGAAAAGGAGUAGCUGAAGGGGAGAAGGAAAAAAAACUAUGAAAAUUGACAACCAUUCACACAUAUUAAGAGACAUCCAUUUCGAGUAAAGUUUAGGUCCUUAAAGGUGUUUGCAUUUGCUGGAUCCUGGUUGGUCUUAUAUGAUCCAUGAGGCCCCUUUGUUGCUUCAUGUAGUUAGAGGUAAAAGCCGAUAAUUUUUGAGCCACUACACCCUUUGAUCUAUCUUAAUCUUACUACCAUCUUAUUAUCUUCCAUGGAAGGUAGUUACAAAAUCCUUGGAGCAUGAGCAUGUUGCUAAGCCCAACACUCACCCACCCAUUAUCUACACGUAUGCAAGGAGGAAAUGGAGGGACACAUGGCAACAGAGGAGUGGAGGGAGGAAUAGCAUAAUUUCUGACAUCAUAACAGAAAUUAGUUAAGAGUAAUAGAGAGAGAAAGUCAUGAGAUAAAGGCAUAUGUGUAAAUAUAUAAAUAGGGGCCUCACCUAAAAGAGGAGGGUAUCCGGUAAAUUAGAAUGAAGAGUGAUGUAAUUAGGCCAUGAUGAUACAACCCGAAGAGACCAUGUCAAUAUAUAAAUAGGGGCCUCACUUAAAAAAAGGAGAGAAAGGUUGAGCCACUGCUCUUGGAGAGAUUACAACCUCAAGCAAAGGUGGGAAGGGCGAGACUCCUACACCAGUGGCUCAACCUACUCCUAUUGCCCAUCCCAUCACGCACAAAAAUCCACUUACUCCUCACAACCAGCCGAAUCCGUUUUCUCAACCUCCUCUGUAGCCUCACCCCACUUCACUGCAUACUCAAACCAACCAACCAGAUCCACCAACAGCCACAUACUCAUAGCCAAACUUGUUGGAGAGACAAGAAGACUGAGUUUUUUUUUUUUUUUUUGCUCCAAAGACAAGAAGACUUAGUGAUAGGGAAUUACAAUACAAACGUGAGAAGGGCUUAUCUUUUCGGUGUGAUUGAAAAAUGGACGGUAGGUCAUAAAUGCAAGAAAAAGGAGUUGAGUGUGUUAUGAGGCCAUGAUGAUACGUAGGUGGAAUAUGGGUCAUUGGAGGAGAUAUCCCAACUAGACACUCCCACAAGCCCUGGCUCAUAUCAACCCCAACCUGAGAUUUCAUUGAACUCAAUGAUGGGCAAUUCAAGUCCAAAAACCUUGAAGAUAGCUGGAACAAUCAAGGGAGAACGGGUCAUAGUGAUGGUGGAUCCGGGAGCCACACACAAUUUCAUAUCACCUGAUACAAUGCAGCAACUAAACCUUCCCAUCACCCCUUCCAAGUCCUUUGGUGUUUCCUUAGGCACUGGCAUAGAAGUUUUUAGAGGUGGCGUGUGCAAAGCAGUGCCACUGCUCGUCCAGGGGGUAGAAGUAGUUGAAGACUACGUACCCUUGCCAACUCAGAUCUCAUUUUAGGAAUCCAAUGGUUAGAGAAGUUGGGGACCAUGGUUACCAAUUGGAAGACUCAGAAGCUCCAAUUCCAACAAGGCGAGGACACUGUCACUCUAGAAGGUGAUCCCUCAUGCACGGAAUUACACUAAAUGCCAUGAUGCGCACAAUUAAAAAGGAGGGUGGAGGGUACUUGGUAGAACUGAAUCAAUUGGAGAAUGGAGAAUGUUGGACAAGGAGAUCAGGAGCAACAACACACCAUUCCAGCAUGUUUGCAGCCCCUCCUCACUUCCUAUGAUCUGGUGUUUCACAUGCCUACUGGUCUUCCUCCCAAGAGAGGUCAUGAACAUGCUAUAACCUUGAAACAUGUUAUUGACCCAGUUGCCGAGCAGAAUAGUGCGUCAGAGAUAGUAGAGCAAAGACAUUUCUACAGAACUUGUGCUUGAUUUUUGUCCCAUGCCAUCAUCUUCUGCUUGAUGCUUGUAUAAGAUGGCUGGAGCAGGUAGAAGAAUAUCAGUUCUCCUGCUUCUGUAGUUAGGAUGUACAUAAGAUACUUUCAUCUCUAUCAUGGAAGAUAUCGAAUUAGUAUAUGACUUGGUGUCUAAGAAAUUCCUCGCGGGCAUAAUGGUUUCUUUGUCAUAUUCUUACAGUGACUCCCAUGUCUUUCCAUGGACCACUAACGGCCCGUUUGGUAGUUGGUCAUAAAUGGUGGUAAUGAGAAUGAAUUUGUGUGUAAAUUUGUGAAAAAUAUCCUUGUCCAUUUCCAUAGUAAUGCUAAUUUAUCUUAAAAUGUCCA